rnacentral:rRNA from 1 species
UACGUAGGGUCCAAGCGUUAAUCGGAAUUACUGGGCGUAAAGGGUGCGCAGGUGGUUGUGCAAGCCAGAUGUGAAAUCCCCGGGCUUAACCUGGGAACUGCAUUUGGGACUGCACGGCUAGAGUGUGGCAGAGGGGGGUGGAAUUCCGCGUGUAGCAGUGAAAUGCGUAGAGAUGCGGAGGAACACCAAUGGCGAAGGCAACCCCCUGGGUUAACACUGACGCUCAUGCACGAAAGCGUGGGGAGCAAACAGG